rnacentral:lncRNA from 1 species
AAACUGGCCAGACCGGUCCGAAUAAUUUUGGAUUUAUCGAGUUUUUGGUGGUCCUUAACGUUAGGAGCAAGGUCUAGUUCAUUUUUUUAUUAGGGAACCCUAGAAUUAAGUUUUUCUUUCACUUUUACACCCUUUCUUUUGUUUAAUUUAAUUUCUCGCACUUAUUUGCUACGUGUUUACUAUCUAGUUUAUGCGAACUACUUGGGUUAGGAGCGAAUCGUCUAGAUUAGUUAGACCGAUCAUCGAAAUUCCUUCUUCAUCCUCUUCGGACUCCGAACCCAUAGAAGCUAGCGAACCGAUAGUAAACAUGGCAUUGUCUCUUAAAGACCGAUGUUACCCGUCCCGUUCUGCUCA